rnacentral:rRNA from 1 species
CAAACGGAGGAAAAGAAACCAACAGGGAUUGCCUCAGUAACGGCGAGUGAAGCGGCAAAAGCUCAAAUUUGAAAUCCCCCCGGGGAGUUGUAAUUUGAAGAUUGCGUCUUGGAGGCGACCGUGUCUAUGUUCCUUGGAACAGGACGUCACAGAGGGUGAGAAUCCCGUGCGGCACGGCCCCCGGCUCCUUAUAAGGCGCUCUCGACGAGUCGAGUUGUUUGGGAAUGCAGCUCAAAGUGGGUGGUAAAUUCCAUCUAAAGCUAAAUACAGGCGAGAGACCGAUAGCGAACAAGUACAGUGAUGGAAAGAUGAAAAGCACUUUGAAAAGAGAGUGAAACAGCACGUGAAAUUGUUGAAAGGGAAGGGCAUGCCGUCAGAUUGUCAGUGUGGGUAAGAAGCGGGGUACAAAG